rnacentral:rRNA from 1 species
AUUGAACGCUGGCGGCAGGCCUAACACAUGCAAGUCUGGCGAGCGGCGGACGGGUGAGUAAUUUAUGGGAAUCUGCCUGAUGGAGGGGGAUACCUACUGUAAACGGUAGCUAACACCGCAUACCCUCGGAUGACCCCACAUGGGAUUAGCUGGUAGGUACGGUACCGGCUGACCUAGGCGACGAUCCCUAGCUGGUCUGAGAGGAUGACCAGCCACACUGGGACUGAGACACGGCCCAGACUCCUACGGGAGGCAGCAGUGGGGAAUAUUGCACAAUGGGCGCAAGCCUGAUGCAGCCAUGCCGCGUGUAUGAAGAAGGCCUUCGGGUUGUAAAGUACUUUCAGUCGGGAGGCGUUACAGACAGAAGAAGCACCGGCUAACUCCGUGCCAGCAGCCGCGGUAAUAC